GCACAACAGGAUGCUGGGAAUACAGAUCUGAAAAAGACAGAGAGUGCACUCAAGGAGUUUGCAAUUUCUACCAGUGGAGGAAGACGUGAAGAGGGGACGACACACGCUUUGUUCUCAGGAAGACCUCAGCAGAUGAAGAUACACUGAGUUGCAAAUACAUUGUCUUGUGGAACACAUCCAACAGGGUUCUCACCAAGAUCACAUGGAGUUCCUAGAACAAAGCCUGGCUCGUGGACUAGAAGCCAGAGAACUACAUUUCCCAGACUCCUUUACCUCCAGGGUGUCUAAACAUGAUUUCUAGUCUAAAUAUGAUUUCCAGUCUACCAGCAAGAUGUACCAGCAUAAGACGUGGAAGGUGGAGGAGAGAUCAAAGAGAUCAUUUUCUUCUGGAAGGAGCAGCAUGGGACGCAGUGCACAAGAGAUUUUGUUGUGGCCUUCUGAAAUUUACAUGCCACAGGCUUGCGUAAAGAACUGGUUUCCAAGCUCUUGACAGCUUCAGAAGUUCUGGGACUGUUGUAACCGUGGCUUAAAAGCUAGUGCAAUCCUCCUGACUUUCGCCCUUUUAGCCUUUCCAAUGGUUUUGUAAGUAUUUAUUUCCCCACAUUAAAUCUCUUUUUGCUUAACAAACCUAAAGUGAUUUUAUUUUAUUGGCUGAACUCUGCCUGAUAAAACCAGCCUGCCACUCACCAUUGUGUGAUUUGGGGCAAGUGACUUCCCCACUGUGGAUCUCAGCGUCCACUCUGUAGAAUGACAGGUUUGGAAGAGAUGGUCUCUAAGAUUCCUUCUAGUUUUAACGUAGGUAAAAUUCCAUGAAACUACAAAUUUUCUCUUGUAUAUUUGUGAGCAAGCAAGGGGGAAAAGGGGAAGGAAGUUUGUCUUUUAAGAGUCUAGAUACAUCCUGCAGCUGAGAGAUGUGGUCCUCUGAGAAGUCACAGGAUUUCUCUGGUAACGGAAAGGCAUCCAGGUACAGCUUACAGGCAUGGGUUCGAUAAAGGUUAGUCAGUCUUUGGUUAACCUCUCUCCUGGAAAGAAUACCAGUUACAUUACCACUUCUUUAUGAAAGUGGAGCUCACCUCACCCAGAAUCUCAAGAAAAGCUCAUGCUUCUGCCAUGUCUAAGUUGAGAUUCAUUUGCCCCCUCCCACCACCACCAAGUCUCAACUUCCUCUCUCAUCUUCGGAACUGAAUAUGACAGGCAUUCAUUCGACUUAGAGCAUUAUCCAGUUCAAGCUCUUCUUUAGAAAGUCAGAUCCCUCUAGGAGGGUAUUUGUGGUAGAUGUGAACAGCCAUUUCACCCUGUAAGAGUUAGGGCGGUCAAUGUUGUCAGUGCCCCACCCACAUUCCUCCAGCUGUUCCUCUCCAGUUUGCCCCAGUUACUUCCAACCAUAGGCAUCAGCAUUACUUUGCCUAACUUUUCUCUGAAACUGAGAAAGGCCAAUCCGCCCAUGAGCAAGGAAUCCUGACGCGCCAGAGAGUUAACACCCCGCAAUCAAUGAUUGACAAGAUGGUGCAUAAAUAUCCCGGUUCCCUUGCCCCUGGAUGGGAUAACUUGGAAUAAGGUGGUAUAUUUCCUACACUAUUUUUCAGAGUUUCCACAUGGGACUAAGGUCCAGUUGCCCAUAGUGGUAACUCACUUAACACACCCUUUGUUGGCUCUCUUACCUUCCAACCUCUCUUCCCAAAUAACCCACAUGAACUUGAAUCCUUGCCUCAGGGUCUGCUUCUGAGAGAACUCAACUAAGGCAUUUAGUUUACCAAGUGCUUUUCUUCAUGCCAGCCAGUUACAUCAGGGGGACUGAGAUAUGGGAAUUUUUAUAGGUAAAGAUGCAAAGUAAAUUCUGGAGUUAGGGAUGCAGAGCAACCUGGGUCAGGGGCUGUAGCAAGCAGCACAGAGGCCUUGAGGGACUGAGGAAAAGCCAGCAAGAGCAGGAAGUAGGUUGAAAAACAUGGGACACUUCUUUGAUGUCAUCACUUAUAAAGCUCUGACAUCUAACAAGGGCUCAAAAGUGUUUGUAUUCUUGUCAGUUAUCUCACAUUCUUUAGUACCAGCCCCAGCAAUCAAAUUAUUCAAUCAUGCUUUCAUUCAUUGAUUCAGUCACAUAUUCACUCAUUCAACAAUUAAAAUCAUUUCUUAAAUGUUUAUGUUGUGCUGGGACUGUGCUUGGUGCUGGGAUGCAAAGAUGAAUAGAGCACAGCCCUGCCUUUUAGGUGCUUCCAGUCAAAAGGCCAUGAAUGGAAGCCCCUACUAGUACCAAGGAUAUCUCCCCAUUCAGGCUCGCUUGGCUGGAGCCGUCGUAAAAAUGUCUUUGCUUGGCUCUGCAAGGGGUGGGCCGCAAACUGUAUUUUGCUCAUUCAAAGCAAACAAGCAAUAAUGUAAUGGCAGGAAACCUCAUAAAAUGGUUAUUUCUAUUCCCGGACUGCUCCGGGGUUCCAUCUAAUUUAUAAACAUUGUUUUAUGAAAAAUUGAGAUCAUUCUUGGAAGUGCCCAGAGAGAGUGACCUUUGCUUGUUUUGGUGCAGUGUUUGUGUGUGAAUGUGUACAUGGCUAUUGUUGCUAAGGAGGCAAUGGCCAGCCUGGGGUAAUGGCUGUCUUUCCAUUCUGCACAUUUCCUUAGUCAGGGCGGGUGUAACUGACACCCUCCCAUACCCAAUUCUCCCCAGAAAGAAAGACAUGGAGUCAGCAACCUAAGUAAGUGCCCGGGAGAGGCUGGCCUCCCCAUGGCGUGAUGAGGACAAUUCCAUCUAUGCCUCCAGAUGUUUUUAGACUCAGCCAUCUUUGGGCACAUGCCUCAGCUGGUUUCUCAGGGGCUUCUUCAUCUAACCUUUCAUGGGAGUCAGGCAAUAAUACCAAACUCUGUCUCUAGGGAAUUUGCGUCAAAUUCCAGAACUCAGAGCUGGUAGAAGCUUAGGAAGGUGGGAGAGUGUGCUUUAUAUGGGGCAACAGAGAAUCAGAUUCAAGUGAAGCUUAGGAAUGACUAACCCCAGGAACAGCUCAGCGUAAGAGUGAAGAACACUGAGGUAGAGCCACCUUCCAGCUCUGCCACUUAACUUGCUGUGUGGCCUGGACACGUCAUUUAAACUCUUUGAACUUCAGUUUUCUCAAAUGUCAGUGAAAAUACCUGUCUCAUAUUUUAUGAACUAAUUGAGAAAAUAUUUAUAAGGUGUGUAAAAUACAUAGCAGCCAGCCCCUGUCAGAUACUUGGUUAGGCUCUUUCUUUUGUGUGGAAUGUUUUUUCCUCAGGUAUCUGCCUAGAUCACCCCCUCCCUUCAUUCAAGUUUCUGCUCAAAUGUCACCCCAGUCAAGAAGUCUUUCCUGCCCCCAACUUAAAGAGCAGUCCUUUCUCUCUUUGUUCUCUAUCCCCUUCCCUACUUCCCUUUUCUUCAUAGCACUUGUCAUUACGUGAAUCAUAUCACAUAUAUCUUUUUGUUUAAUUAGUUUGUUUUUAUUUUCUGUCUUGCCUAACUAGAAUGUGUACCAUGAGAGCAAGCACUGUUUCGUUCAUUGUUGUAUCCCCAGUGCCCAUAA